CCUACGGGAGGCUGCAGUGGGGAAUAUUGCACAAUGGGCGCAAGCCUGAUGCAGCCAUGCCGCGUGUGUGAAGAAGGCCUUCGGGUUGUAAAGCACUUUCAGCGGGGAGGAAGGCGGUGAGGUUAAUAACCUCAUCGAUUGACGUUACCCGCAGAAGAAGCACCGGCUAACUCCGUGCCAGCAGCCGCGGUAAUACGGAGGGUGCAAGCGUUAAUCGGAAUCACUGGGCGUAAAGCGCACGCAGGCGGUCUGUCAAGUCGGAUGUGAAAUCCCCGGGCUCAACCUGGGAACUGCAUUCGAAACUGGCAGGCUAGAGUCUUGUAGAGGGGGGUAGAAUUCCAGGUGUAGCGGUGAAAUGCGUAGAGAUCUGGAGGAAUACCGGUGGCGAAGGCGGCCCCCUGGACAAAGACUGACGCUCAGGUGCGAAAGCGUGGGGAGCAAACAGGAUUAGAUACCCUAUAGUC
rnacentral:rRNA from 1 species